CGAUGUGAUAAACUGACAUAUCGGACAACAUAAGUGUUUCCGUUUUAUCGCGCCACGCGUGUGUCCCAUACGAUAGGUAAAAACGCCGCAAUAACCAAUAACCGAGUAGUAUGAAUUUGGCAUAACAUUGUUAGCAGAAUUUUUCGAAAAUAAAACUGCCAGUAUUAACAUUUACUUGCUGUCCAAUUGUAGGAGUCCAUAUAAAAUUGUCUUUUUCGUGUUCUGGAAUGACGUCAUUGAGAUAUAUAUUACCGUUUUCGUCUAUAUUUCGUAUUUUAUAAAUGAUAGUAUUUAUGUCAUCAUUUGGUUGUGGUUCAUCCUGUGAAUCUUUAUCGGUGUAUAAAGGUAAAUACAGAUAUUUGUAAAAUAAUUUCGUCCCGUCGUUAUGCCACCGAAUACUAUCUCGUAUGCUAUGUAAAUCAUGAGAUUCGACGUUAAUACUUAUGCGUUCUAAGAACAAAUCUAUAAUUUGCGCAUAUUUGUAAACGAAAGUAUUUAUUGUUCUGUCUUAAUGUUGUACAACCACAUUAUGAAAAUUCUCUACAGAGAACGUGUUCAAACCCCAUGGUAAUGUAGCAUAAUACGCAACUGAUAAACUCAUAUUUACGGUUUUCAUAUUUAUAUUUUUCGAUUUUAUAUCAUGCAUACGGGUGUUUUGGAAAUUUUCGGUAAGAAAAUAUUUACCUUUCAACCACUCGAAAACAUACGCUCAUUCUUUUUUAAAAUUGUUUGAUGGUAUUGUGGAUAUUCUCCAAAUAAUUCAAGUACAAAAUUUUACAAUUUUCGUCGGUUAAAUAUUUGUUUCCACUUUUUUUCAGGACCUCAAUUGUGGUUAUAAAUUUAUUUCACGUCCGAAUAGGUUUCAACGUCUCUCGUAUACAAUUAAUUUUCUCGGCUUUGAGACUCGUAUUUGCUGCAGUUCCGUGAAAUAUAUUGGUGCAA